AUCUCUUUGAGUGGAGGGAGAGCAGGUAUGACUGGGACGACAUUCACGAGAUUGAGCAAGACCUGGUCCACCUGGUGACCCGAGAGAUCGAGCUGGAACAGGGCUACCAGCAGCUGUUCCACUCCAGUGAGAAGGCUCAGCAGGAGAGCAGAGUGACAGACCCAGAGGCAGACCCAUUCAGCUGGGACGAGAUAGUGGAGUUUUGCUGGGAGGAACCCCAGGUGGCUGGUGGAGAUGGGACCAAGGUCUUUCCACUGGUCCUGCAGGGAAUUGGGAGCCCAGUCUCCAUUCCCCAGCGGCAGGCUGAGUUACAGGGGGCAGAGACAGUUGGUCCUGUCCCCCAGCGGCAGAGUGUCCUACAGGGAAUAGAGAGCCCAGUCUCAU